GAUGAACGCUGGCGGCGUGCCUAAUACAUGCAAGUCGAGCGAACAGACGAGGAGCUUGCUCCUCUGACGUUAGCGGCGGACGGGUGAGUAACACGUGGAUAACCUACCUAUAAGACUGGGAUAACUUCGGGAAGCCGGAGCUAAUACCGGAUAACAUGUUGAACCGCAUGGUUCAACAGUGAAAGACGGUCUUGCUGUCACUUAUAGAUGGAUCCGCGCCGCAUUAGCUAGUUGGUAAGGUAACGGCUUACCAAGGCAACGAUGCGUAGCCGACCUGGGAGGGUGAUCGGCCACACUGGAACUGAGACACGGUCCAGACUCCUACGGGAGGCAGCAGUAGGGAAUCUUCCGCAAUGGGCGAAAGCCUGACGGAGCAACGCCGCGUGAGUGAAGAAGGUCUUCGGAUCGUAAAACUCUGUUAUUAGGGAAGAACAAAUGUGUAAGUAACUAUGCACGUCUUGACGGUACCUAAUCAGAAAGCCACGGCUAACUACGUGCCAGCCGCCGCAGUAA
rnacentral:rRNA from 1 species